rfam:Rodentibacter heidelbergensis strain Ac69 contig_27, whole genome shotgun sequence.
UUUAUCGCAUAACUCCGAGCUUGUUUAGUCUAAGUUCCUCUUUGGUGAAAAUACUUUAGUGAGGAAUAUGACGACAAUGCCAAUAACGCUAUUUGUUAUUCAGGGAUAUGCUGGAAACGGCUUGUCCUCUCCAUUUUAGAAAGGUGUCACAUGCAAUCUAUU